rnacentral:lncRNA from 1 species
UUUAGAAAUGUAGUAGUCCUCUACAGUUUUAUUUGAUAAUCAUUAAGUAAAAAAAUCACUUAAUAAUUUGGUCUGAAUGUCAGUGGUAGAGAAAUGACCACAGAAAUAAUUUUGUGAAUAUAAGUUUUAUCAUUGGGCAUGUCAGUCAAGAUUGUGUCAUUGGAAUAUAUCAUUUUUGAAUUCAACAUUCAUUGAGCAUUUUUGGAUUCAACAUUGGUGCGCCUGUAAUUUUACUGUGAAAUAGUGUUGCAUUAUUAGCAUGUUUUAAAAUAUGUUAAAUUAAAUUUUCCAUUCUAUUGUUAAUUCAUGGCAUAUACUUCUGUAUAAUAUUCAUUUCAUCCCUUUUUAUUCCAUCUUAUUUACAAAUACUUCAUGGCAUAUACUUAAGUAUGAUAAUUUCAUCACACCAGCUUUUCAUUCCUUAUCAAAGAUGUUUGACCCAUAAUGAGCUGAUCAUCAUCAAAAUUUCUCAAGAGUUCUCAUUCUAGCAAUAAACUAACACACAGUUUUUUUUAUGCAUUUACCAAGAAGAACAUAAUAAGAUCAAUGUGAAUACUGUUUUAUAAAAUACAUGGUCUUUUAUGAUCUGAAUACAUUUUAUAUCAAUGCUCAGCGAAUGUACAAGUGCUAGUGCUUUAUAAGAUUUUUACAAAAAAGGAUAUUUAAACUAGGAUCACAUCAUCAAAAACCAAUUCUGACUUUAUUAAUUUAAUGUAAUCUGAAAAAGAACUAUAUUUUUUUAAAUUUGAUAUUGUUACAUGCAUUUCUAGCGCAUGUCAGUUAUAGUUUAAAAGUUAAAAAUGCACGCA